AGCGGAGUAGAGCAGUCUGGUUAAGCUCGUGGGGCUCAUAACCCUGAGGUCAAAGGUUCAAAUCCUUUCUCCGCCA
rnacentral:tRNA from 1 species